GGACUAAGAAAACUUGCAGCGAUAGAAAUGAGCAAGGCAGCACCUGGAAUCAACCAGCAAUCUCUGCAAGAAGUCUAAGGAACCAGGUAGAAUGUUGUCACACAUACUGAAUAAAAUGCUGCUUCUAUACCUUCAGGUUCUGAGUAGAACUGGAGGCACCGAGCUGAAACAGAACAGUUGUUCUUACAUAAGACAGAGUGAUCUUGUGCAUUUUUCUCUGCUAGGAUUUACAGUUUCAAAUGUGUAUGCUGAUGGGGAUUAAGCUCAAGGAUACCUGUCAAUACAUUGGAGAAAAUGAACAGUUGUGUGAUUUGUUCAGCAAACUCUUUUUGCUGAAUAUCAGAGAAAUGGAAAAGAAGACAUACAGUGCAUUUGAUUUCCAGGUAAUAGUGCCAUCAGUACUUAACAGUUCUGUAAGUGUCAGCAGACUGAAGUACUGGUUGACUGUAGCCAAAAACAGCUCCAAGCAUGGUAACACCCUUAAUCUUUCCCCCACUUUAGACAUGUAAAUUGUCUCACAUAUAUUGAAGUCCUGAAAUAUUUUUCUCACGAUUGUAAAGAAAAAAGUAGGUAUUGGCAAUGAUCAGUACUUAUGUAUAGACACAAGCUUUAGGGAAAUAUAGGGCAUGCAGGGUUCUUAUGUGAACCUUGAACUUCAGAGUGAGACCUGCUCUUUUGGUCACUGCCUUGCUCCUCAGGCAGGGUAUUAGUCUCCCAUGUAAUUACAGCUUAGUGUUGCAGCCUCUGAUACAAAUUAGUUAUCCUUGUCAAAGGCCAGAGUCCUGAGGUGGGUUUGAAAUAGAAGAACUGUGCUGUGGCAAACAGGAAAGUUCCUUCCAUAGGUUAGUACCACUGGUGUCUCCCUUUGUACUCACGUGCCAAUUUUGUGCUAUUCUGUGCUCUGAUAUAUCCGGUAAUACAACUACACAGGUACUAAGAAACUCCAGAUGUAAUCAAAAACUGAGACACAGAGUGUAAAGGAAUGCAGAUACUCCUUAGUGCAUGCUGAAUGCCCAGCUUAUGGUAGCAAGGAGAUGCUGGGACAAUACUUUCCAUCCAUGUCCUAGCUCUUCGUGGUGUGACAAUGUGAUGGGCAUCUAAACCCACCACCUUGAUACCCAGGAAUAUUUGUCUCCAACAUCAAAUAACUGAUUCUUUUGUAAAACUGACCUCCAGAAGAAAGGCUCUUCAGCUAGAAGGAUGGCCUAUCACUAAAUAGAUGGGGCAAAACAUGAUAAUGGGUGGAUUAAACACAGUUUUGAAGAGUAUUGUACGUUUUGUUCCCAUUCUGUGACAAGAUGCUUGGAAAUUUCUGAAAGGGAAUGUCAAUAAUUUGUCUGAAAAUAUGCCUGAAAAAGUAUAGGACUUUCAAACAAAGCUUUAAGACCUGGGCAGCUACAGAUUAGACCAAGGACUAAGCCUCAAGGUGAAGUCAAAAUAUCCAUGCACAGCCCCAGAGCUCAUCAGCUACUGAAAAAUAUUCCUUGACUGAUGUUUUCUUCUUUUCCU
rnacentral:lncRNA from 1 species